rnacentral:rRNA from 1 species
CGAACGCUGGCGGCGUGCUUAACACAUGCAAGUCGAACGAGAAAACCCCUUCGGGGGUGAGUACAGUGGCGCACGGGUGAGUAACACGUGGGUAACCUACCCCCAGGUAUGGGAUAACGGCUGGAAACGGCCGCUAAUACCGUAUAAGACCACGGGUUCUUCGGGACCUGAGGUAAAAGGAGGCCUCUUCAUGAAAGCUUUCACCUGAGGAUGGGCCCGCGUACCAUUAGCUUGUUGGUAAGGUAACGGCUUACCAAGGCUCCGAUGGUUAGCUGGUCUGAGAGGAUGAUCAGUCACACUGGAACUGACACACGGUCCAGACUCCUACGGGAGGCAGCAGUGGGGAAUAUUGGGCAAUGGGGGAAACCCUGACCCAGCGACGCCGCGUGAGUGAGGAAGGCCUUCGGGUCGUAAAGCUCUGUCAGGAGGGAAGAACGCGUUGAUGGUUAAUACCCAUCGGCGUUGACGGUACCUCCAGAGGAAGCACCGGCUAACUCC